UAGUUCAAGGACAGCAGUUGAAUCCGUAUUUGAGACUCAAAGUCAGACGUGACCAUAUUAUAGAUGAUGCACUGGUCCGGGUAAGUUUGACUAUUAUUUAAAAUUGGAAUUAAACUAAAACCUAGACAGUGAUGUAUUUCAAUUUAUUCAUUUUAUCUAUAAUUUUGGAAAAAAAUAGGAUUAUGUUAACAUUUCUGAUCUGUAUUGCUACACCUUUGUUGCUUCUUACCAAAAAUACUGGUAUCCUGGUUGUCUAAUGAUAAUUCUCUUUUGAAGAAGAAUAGAUUUUUCUAGUACUAGGGGAAUGACUCAGUGGUUAAAACGUUUGUUGUGCAAACAUGAGGACUUAUCCUUGGAUUUUCUGAAUACAUGUAAAACAGGAUAUGGUAGUUCCAUUUGUAAUAGUACUGCCUAAAGCAAGAUAGAAAGUAUAGACAGAAAAAUCCUCAGAAGCUAAUCUGAUAUAUAAACUGACAAAUAACUAGACCCUGUCUCAGUUGGUAGAAAGCAAAGUCUGAUACUUGAUGUUCUUUGACCUCCACACAUACGUUUUCCCCUUUUGGCAUUUACAUGCACACAUGCAUGCAUGCAUGCAUGCAUACAUAUGCACACAGAUGCGCAGACAGACAGGCACAAAGCAAGUAAAAGGAAUGGAUUUUCUGAAUCUUGAAAGCCAGCCUCAUAUAUUUCCAUUAAGAAGAAAAGAUUGGUUUUCAAAGAUUGGAACACAUGACAAAUGGUAUUGUUAUACACAUUUUUAAGAAUGGAAGAUGGAAUUGGAAGAAAUAAUGCAAUAAAUGUACAUUGUAAAAGAAUAAGAGCUGCUCUUCAAAUUCCAUUAUGUGUAACACAACUCAGCUUUCUAUUGUGAACUUGAUGAUAUGACCAGGAAAGGUUAGUCUGUAUUAUCAAUAAGACUUUGGAGUUCUAAGCCACUCUGUCUUGUGUGACAUUGUAGGAUUUUGUUUUUUUAAAUAAUAAUAACAUGAAUCUUGAAAAUUCUGUAAAGUGGCUAUUUUGGGAGCUUGGAAUUAAUGUUAGUAAUACCAGGUAAAUCUAGAUGAUUUAACUGGGAAGUCAGGAACUUCUUACUGCGUGAUUUUUGUUUUUGUUUUCAAAUAACAUUGCCUCUUGUCUUCCUUUUUUCUACAGACGACAAAAAUUACAGAGUCCCUGUCAGUUAAACCAGAAAUUUGGUUUGAAAAUUGUCAGUCACAUAUUAACAAAAUUAUAUAUAAGUAAUUCAGGGUAUCCCUUGGUAUUAAUUGUUCCUGUUAGUGCUAGUUCUUGUAUAAACUUGAUGUAAGAUUUAGUACUAGUUACAGAUUGAAGCAUCAUCCUUAUAGUCUAACAAAUAAUAUUAACUCAUUAACAGAUAACUAACAAAUAAUAUUUAUUUGAACAUUUAUUUUUUUUGGGGGGGAAUGGAUUGUCGAAAUCUGAAAAGCCUUAAGACUGAGCUAAAUACACAUUUAAUAAAAAAUUUAUGCACCUGU
rnacentral:lncRNA from 1 species